GAGGAGAUACUAAAGAAAUGCCAUCAGAGACAGUACUUACUCAGGAAGUUAAAAUCAUUUGGAACUAACUGUGAAGGCAGCUCGCAGGAUUUUACAGGACCCCUCUCAUAUUCUGUUUUCUGAGUUUGAAUGGCUUCCCUCAAGACGCAGACUCCGUUGUCCACACUGCAGGACGCAGAGGAGGAAGAUAACCUUCCUCCCCAGGGCAGUUCAGCUCUUAAAUGCUGAACACUGACCAGUCAUAAGCGCUGAUGCGGCUACAUGAAGUACAACUUUUUAAUAAUGCAUGCACUUUAUAAUUCAUCUAUGAGUUUGUAUAUGUUCUUAUUUGUGAACGCUGUUUGUUGUAUUGUGUGCUGUUAUGUGUCUUGAGAGUUGUGUGUGCUCUUAAGCUACCUUUAUGCUCUUUAAAUUGCCCCUCGGGGACAAAUAAAGUAAUCUGAAUCUGAA